rnacentral:rRNA from 1 species
CCUACGGGGGGCAGCAGUGAGGAAUAUUGGUCAAUGGGCGAGAGCCUGAACCAGCCAAGUCGCGUGAGGGACGACGGCCCUACGGGUUGUAAACCUCUUUUGCCGGGGGACAAACGGCGGCACGUGUGCCGUCCUGAGGGUACCCGGAGAAAAAGCAUCGGCUAACUCCGUGCCAGCAGCCGCGGUAAUACGGAGGAUGCGAGCGUUAUCCGGAUUUAUUGGGUUUAAAGGGUGCGUAGGGGGGUUGCAAAGUCAGCGGUCAAAUACGGGGGCUCAACCUUCGUCCGCCGUGGAAACUGGGGUUCUUGAGUGCGCGAGAGGUACGCGGAAUGCGUGGUGUAGCGGUGAAAUGCAUAGAUAUCACGCAGAACCCCGAUUGCGAAGGCAGCGUACCGGCGCGCAACUGACGCUGAAGCACGAAAGCGUGGGUAUCGAACAGGAUUAGAUACCCGAGUAGUC